GCCUGGGUGGCUUAGUUGGUUAAGUGCCUGACUUCAGCUCAGGUCAUGAUCUCACGGUUUGUGGAUUUGAGCCCCACGUUGGGUU
rnacentral:tRNA from 1 species